rnacentral:rRNA from 1 species
GAUGAACGCUGGCGGCGUGCCUAAUACAUGCAAGUCGAGCGAACGGACGAGAAGCUUGCUUCUCUGAUGUUAGCGGCGGACGGGUGGGUAACACGUGGAUAACCUACCUAUAAGACUGGGAUAACUUCGGGAAACCGGAGCUAAUACCGGAUAAUAUUUUGAACCGCAUGGUUCAAAAGUGAAAGACGGUCUUGCUGUCGCUUAUAGAUGGAUCCGCGCUGCAUUAGCUAGUUGGUAAGGUAACGGCUUACCAAGGCAACGAUGCAUAGCCGACCUGAGAGGGUGAUCGGCCACACUGGAACUGAGACACGGUCCAGACUCCUACGGGAGGCAGCAGUAGGGAAUCCUCCGCAAUGGGCGAAAGCCUGACGGAGCAACGCCGCGUGAGUGAUGAAGGUCUUCGGAUCGUAAAACUCUGUUAUUAGGGAAGAACAUAUGUGUAAGUAACUGUGCACAUCUUGACGGUACCUAAUCAGAAAGCCACGGCUAACUACGUGCCAGCAGCCGCGGUAAUACGUAGGUGGCAAGCGUUAUCCGGAAUUAUUGGGCGUAAAGCGCGCGUAGGCGGUUUUUUAAGUCUGAUGUGAAAGCCCACGGCUCAACCGUGGAGGGUCAUUGGAAACUGGAAAACUUGAGUGCAGAAGAGGAAAGUGGAAUUCCAUGUGUAGCGGUGAAAUGCGCAGAGAUAUGGAGGAACACCAGUGGCGAAGGCGACUUUCUGGUCUGUAACUGACGCUGAUGUGCGAAAGCGUGGGGAUCAAACAGGAUUAGAUACCCUGGUAGUCCACGCCGUAAACGAUGAGUGCUAAGUGUUAGGGGGUUUCCGCCCCUUAGUGCUGCAGCUAACGCAUUAAGCACUCCGCCUGGGGAGUACGACCGCAAGGUUGAAACUCAAAGGAAUUGACGGGGACCCGCACAAGCGGUGGAGCAUGUGGUUUAAUUCGAAGCAACGCGAAGAACCUUACCAAAUCUUGACAUCCUUUGACAACUCUAGAGAUAGAGCUUUCCCCUUCGGGGGACAAAGUGACAGGUGGUGCAUGGUUGUCGUCAGCUCGUGUCGUGAGAUGUUGGGUUAAGUCCCGCAACGAGCGCAACCCUUAAGCUUAGUUGCCAUCAUUAAGUUGGGCACUCUAAGUUGACUGCCGGUGACAAACCGGAGGAAGGUGGGGAUGACGUCAAAUCAUCAUGCCCCUUAUGAUUUGGGCUACACACGUGCUACAAUGGACAAUACAGAGGGCAGCGAAACCGCGAGGUCAAGCAAAUCCCAUAAAGUUGUUCUCAGUUCGGAUUGUAGUCUGCAACUCGACUACAUGAAGCUGGAAUCGCUAGUAAUCGUAGAUCAGCAUGCUACGGUGAAUACGUUCCCGGGUCU